rnacentral:lncRNA from 1 species
ACUAUCUCGCUCCCUCUCGCGCCUCCCUCCUCGCUGGGCAUUCAAACAGCUUUCCGACAUCACCAGCCAAGGAUUUUUUCCCCCCUCUCCUUAGUCGCCGUCCGUCCAUCAGUACCUGCAGGGGGGAGGAGGAGGAGGGAGGAAAGCGGAAAGAGGAAAAAGCAUAAGCCUGAGCCUUCCGAUCCGACCACGAAUACUCCUGUAAUAAACCCACCGCCCCAACAAAUCUGCCAUAGCAGCCGCCGCCGCCGCCGGUCACUUCUCGUCUCAGCGCUUUCUUUGCUUCUUGGUUUGUUGGGGGUAGCUUUUAUGAAACAAAUCUUUGCUCUUAAGCCACUUACAUUUUGGGGGGUUCCUUAGAGUCUCCCUUGGGGGGGCUUCUCCCUCCCUUUAGCCCCCCUCGGUUUGGAGGUUGGAUUCAGUUGGAUACGGCGCAAGGUUCUGGGCUCCUGCUGGCUUUUUUUUUCUCUCUCUCAUCGACCCCCCUUUGGUUCCCACCCCCCACCUUUUGCUUUUCGUAUGUAUGCAUUUUUAAAAAUAAAUCCUGAUUUUGGAAGCUGAGCCGGGGAAAAUGGGCAACGGUGAUUGGGACCGAAGGGGAGUCUCUCCGUCACUGUUGCUGGGACGCGUGCCUGUGCUGGUGUCUUAGAGCAAGAGCCUCCCUGAGCUUUCGGAGUGGAAGAACAGUGGAAGAGACUGCAGCCUAAAGACUUUUAAAAUUAACUUGGCAUCACUUUUAUCAGCUCAAAGGCUAAACAAACAAACAAAAGCAGUGUCAUUUAUUCUAAGAAAUAACUUCUUAAAGGUUAAAGCUGAAAAAUAUUCAAGUUAUUUUUGGAUAACAACUUACAGAGGUAAAUAUAACCAAGGACUACUUUAUUAUCCAAAGCCAGGGUUGA